GAUGAACGCUGGCGGUGUGCCUAAUACAUGCAAGUCGAGCGAACAGACGAGGAGCUUGUUCCUCUGACGUUAGCGGCGGACGGGUGAGUUACACGUGGAUAACCUACCUAUAAUACUGGGAUAAUUUCGGGAAACCGGAGCUCAUACUGGAUAAUAUAUUUAACCGCAUUGUUCAAUAGUGAAAGACGGUUUUGCUGUUACUUAUAGAUGGAUUCGCGCCGCAUUAGCUACUUGGUAAGGUAACGGCUUAUCAAGGCAACGAUGCGUAGCCGACCUGAGAGGGUGAUCAGCCACACUAGAACUGAGACACGGUCCAAACUCCUACGGGAGGCAGCAGUAGGGAAUCUUCCGCAAUGGGCGAAAGCCUGACGGAGCAACGCCGCGUGAGGGAUGAAGGUCUUCGGAUCGUAAAACUCUGUUAUUGGGGAAGAACAAAUGUGUAAGUAACUAUGCACGUCUUGACGGUACCUAAUCAGAAAGCCACGGCUAACUACGUG
rnacentral:rRNA from 1 species